GCCGAAACAUAUUUCUUGACCGUCCUGUAAUGGAUGGUCGACUGCAAUUGUGUGUUUGACCCAAAGAUCUGUGCACGAUUAGGCUCCAAAUUUGGUACAUGUUCUGGAUGAUUAGACUCCCUACCUGUGCACGAUUUGGUUCUCUGCUUAGUAGUACAUGUCGACGAGUAGUCUCUCUACUUAGUACCUGUGGACGAUUAGGGUUGCUGGUUAGUCCUAUAUCUGCCGCAUAGGAAUUGGGAUUUGAAAGGGAGUUUUUUUAUAGCCUUAAUUGUUUAAAAAUUCGAUAUUGAUAAAAAAAUUGGACAAAAAACUCAAAAAAAUGAUAAAAAGUUGGACAUUAACAAAAAAAAAGGACAAAAAACUCAAUUUUUUUUUGAUAAAAACUUGGACAUUGCAUUUUCCAUAUAUCUUGAAAGUACUUUGCUAACUUGAACUAUAGCCACACAAGCUAGAAGGAUUGUUGGAUUGAACUUCACUUGUCAAAAGUUAUGUUCUUGCCAAACUGGUGGUCUAUUUUCAACGUAUGCUUUUAGUUGAAGUUUAGUUCCUAUAGAGCAUCUAGUAACAUGAAUAUGAAAUCAUUAACUAAUUAAUAAACAGAUAUGAGUUUUCUUCACUUCUCAGCAGCUUUUAUGGGCUUAAAUUCAGGCUUUGAUCAUGUCUCCUGAACAAUUUAAUUACAUUGUAGCAGUUAUCCAUUAGUCAAUUGUUUGAAUGCUGAAAAUACACGGUUUGUGCCGAAACCUAUUUCUUGACCGUCCUGUAAUGGAUGGUCGACUGCAAUUGUGUGUUUGACCGUAGUAUCUGUGCACGAUUAGGCUCCCAAUUUAGUACAUGUUCUGGAUGAUUAGACUCCCUACCUGUGCACGAUUUGGUUCUCUGCUUAGUACAUGUCAACGAGUAGUCUCUAUACUUAGUACCUGUGGACAAUUAAUUUGGCUCUCUACUUAGUACCUCUGGACGUUUAGGGUUGUUGGUUAGUAGUAUAUCUGCCUCAUAGGAAUUGGGAUUUGAAAGGGAGUUUUUUUUAGAGCCUUAAUUGAUUAAAAAAUGGAUAUUGAUAGAAAAAAUUGGACAAAAGACUAAAAAACAAGUUGAUAAAAAAUUGGACAUUGCACUUUCCAUAUAUCUUGAAAGGACUUUGCUAACUUGAACUAUAGCCAAGCUAGAAGGAUUGUUGGAUUGAACUUCACUUGUCAAAAGUUAUGUUCUUGCCAACUGCUGGUCUAUUUUCAACGUAUGCUUUUAGCUGAAGUUUAAUUCCUAUAGAGCAUCUAGUAAGACAAAUAUGAAAUCGUUAACUAACUAAUAAACGGAUAUGAGUUUUCUUCACGUCUCAGCAGAUUUUAUAGAGCAUCUACUUAGUACCUCUGGACGAUUAGGGUUGUUGGUUAGUAGUAUAUCUGCCACAUAGGAACUGGGAUUUGAAAGGGAGUUUCUUUAGAGCCUUAGUUGCUAAAAAAUUGGUCAAAAAAUCUAAAAAAAAUUAUAGAGCAUCUACUUAGUACCUCUGGACGAUUAGGGUUGUUGGUUAGUAGUAUAUCUGCCACAUAGGAACUGGGAUUUGAAAGGGAGUUUCUUUACAGCCUUAAUUGCUAAAAAAUUGGUCAAAAAUCUAAUUUUUUUUGAUAAAAUAUUGGACAUUGCAUUUUACAUAUAUCUUGAAGGGACUUUGCUAACUUGAACUAUAGCCAAGCUAGAAGGAUAGUUGGAUUGAACUUCACUUGUCAAAAGUUAUGUUCUUGCCAAACUUGCCGGUCUAUUUUCAAUGUAUGCUUUUAGCUGAAGUUUAGUUUCUAUAGAGCAUCUGGUAACAUGAAUAUGAAAUCGUUAAUUAAUUAAUAAAUGGAUAUGUGUUUUGUUCACUUCUCGGCAGCUUUUAUGGGGUGAAAUUCAGGCUUUGACCAUGCCUCCCGAACAUUUUAAGUACACUGUAGCAAGUUCUCCAUUAGGCAAUUAUUUGAAUGCUGAAAUUACAUGGUUACUAUUUACUGCCAGCCUGCCACUUAUGUUCACCUGCAAAUAAGAAGUUUGGUCUUUUUUUGCUGAAGCCAGGUGGGCACCAGUUAAUAGUUGAACAAAAUAUACCUGAAUAACUGCUUUUGUUGCUUUGUGGCAGUCUUUCCGCUGAAAAUGAUACUUUGUGUGCGUGCUUAAUCACUAUUUAUCUUUACAUUUGGCACUCAUUAUACAAUUUUAGAUUAUGUAAAUUUUGCUGUUCUGCCAAGUUCAUGUGUCCUGUCUGGAUUUUGUGAAUGACUCUCAGUUCUUGGGAACAAAGUUACAUUGCUCUGCUCUAAAUCUUUAAGUCGUUUAUCUUAAUUGAUUGGUCUGAUUGUCUUCUUUGCAGGAUCAUGUACUGUAUGCAUUGUUUGAGACACUCUGUCUACUCCAUCCUGUCUCGCAGCUUCUUUUGUUACUUUGUAGCAGUCAUUUUGUGGAAAUGCAUAUUUGAUGCUUCUGCUAAUCACCGUUUAUCUUCAUGUUUGGCUCUCAUUUAUGAUGUUUUCUUUAAUUACUCAAUUAUAUCUGUUCUGGCAAGUUUGUGCGUUCUGGUUGGGUGAUCUGUAUGAUUCUCAGUUUUUCACUAUUAAAAGGGAGAAGCUGAGACCCCAAGAGGAGGAUCAUGCGGUGCUCUUCUGUGUGCUAAUGCUUUGAGACACCCUGUUUACUCCAACCCUUCCGUGGUACCAUUUGUUUGAAGAUGAGUUGCAGAACAUGGUGAUCGGCUUUUGGUACAGAAGCCAUUGAAGAUUGAUCGUGGCUUCAGAGGAAGUCUCCAAGUUGCAAGAGAUUGGACACAACGGAGGAGCCAGUUCAAGAGUUGUGGCUGCACCUCCACGAUAAGACCAUAGGAGGCCAAUCUGGUCUGUGCUGAGGCAAGACAGUGGGCGGACGCGGGGCCCGUGGCCUUCACCAACUACUCCCCUAGAUUAGGUCUUUCUGGGUCGAGUUGUAUGGUGUGGUGUUUGUCCUUCUACGGACUUGUACAUAUAACCUAUUUUUUCUAUCAAUGCAUGGAAAUGCAAGGCUUUUGCCUUUUUGUGUGGUA